UGUAGCUCAGUGGCAGAGUGCUUGCCUAUCAUGCAAGAGGUUCUGUGUUCAAUCCCAGCA
rnacentral:tRNA from 1 species